CGUAAUCAACCUGCCCUUCAGAGGGGGACAACAGUUGGAAACGACUGCUAAUACCGCAUACGAUCUAACCUCGGCAUCGAGGAUGGAUGAAAGGUGGCCUCUAUUUAUAAGCUAUCACUGAAGGAGGGGAUUGCGUCUGAUUAGCUAGUUGGAGGGGUAACGGCCCACCAAGGCGACGAUUGGUAGCCGGACUGAGAGGUUGAACGGCCACAUUGGGACUGAGACACGGCCCAG
rnacentral:rRNA from 1 species